rnacentral:rRNA from 1 species
UGAGUACGAGCUGCUACGGCAGCGAAGUGGGUGAUGUCAAGCUUCCAAGAAAAGCCCUAUACCCGUUAAGGCAUGACGGCCUGUACCCGAAACCGACACAGGUGGGGUGGUAGAGAAUACCGAGGGGCGCGAGAUAACUCUCUCUAAGGAACUCGGCAAAAUGGCCCCGUAACUUCGGGAGAAGGGGUGCCACCGCAAGGUGGUCGCAGUGAAGAGGCCCAGGCGACUGUUUACCAAAAACACAGGUCUCCGCUAAGUCGCAAGACGAUGUAUGGGGGCUGACGCCUGCCCAGUGCCGGAAGGUUAAGGAAGCUGGUCAGCGCAAGCGAAGCUAGCGACUGAAGCCCCGGUGAACGGCGGCCGUAACUAUAACGGUCCUAAGGUAAAAUUCCUUGUCGGGUAAGUUCCGACCCGCACGAAAGGCGUAACGAUCUGGGCGCUGUCUCGGAGAGAGGCUCGGCGAAAUAGAAUUGUCUGUGAAGAUGCGGACUACGUGCACCCGGACAGAAAGACCCUAUGAAGCUUUACUGUAGCUUGGUAUUGUGCCCGGGCUCUGAAUGCGCAGGAUAGGUGGGAGGCUUUGAUCCAUUGCUUGUGGGUAAUGGUGAGCCACUGGUGAGAUACCACUCUUUCAGAGCUAGGGUUCUAACGGUCACCCGUUAUCCGGGGACCGGACAGUAUCAGGUGGGCAGUUUGACUGGGGCGGUCGCCUCCUAAAAGGUAACGGAGGCGCGCAAAGGCUCCCUCAGGCUGGUUGGUAAUCAGCCGACGAGUGUAAAGGCAGAAGGGAGCUUGACUGUGAGACCUACAAGUCGAACAGGGACGAAAGUCGGCCUUAGUGAUCCGACGGUUCUGAGUGGAAGGGCCGUCGCUCAACGGAUAAAAGUUACUCUAGGAUAACAGGCUGAUCUCCCCCAAGAGUUCACAUCGACGGGGAGGUUUGGCACCUCGAUGUCGGCUCAUCGCAACCUGGGGCUGAAGUCGGUCCCAAGGGUUGGGCUGUUCGCCCAUUAAAGCGGUACGCGAGCUGGGUUCAGAACGUCGUGAGACAGUUCGGUCCAUAUCCGGUGCACGCGCAGGAACAUUGAGAGGAUUUCUCCCUAGUACGAGAGGACCGGGAGGAACGCACCUCUGGUGUACCAGUUAUCGUGCCAACGGUAAACGCUGGGUAGCCAUGUGCGGAGCGGAUAACCGCUGAAAGCAUCUAAGUGGGAAGCCCACCUCAAGAUGAGUGUUCCCAUGGCAUAAGCCAGUAAGGUCACGGGAAGAACACCCGUUGAUAGGCUCUACGUGGAAGCGUGGCAACACGUGAAGCGGAGGAGUACUAAUAGACCGAGGGCUU